rnacentral:rRNA from 1 species
CCCUUCGGGGAGCAAGUAGAGUGGCGCACGGGUGAGUAACACGUAGGUAAUCUACCUUUGGAUGGGGAAUAACAACCGGAAACGGUUGCUAAUACCGCAUAAUGCAGCGGCACCUAAUGGUGACAGUUGUUAAAGCGGGGGAUCGCAAGACCUCGCGUCUGAAGAGGAGCCUGCGGCGGAUUAGCUAGUUGGUAAGGUAACGGCUUACCAAGGCGAUGAUCCGUAGCCGGCCUGAGAGGGCGGUCGGCCACACUGACACUGACAUACGGGUCAGACUCCUACGGGAGGCAGCAGUCGGGAAUUUUGGGCAAUGGGCGAAAGCCUGACCCAGCAACGCCGCGUGAAGGAUGAAAUCCCUCGGGAUGUAAACUUCGCAAGAACGGGAAGAAUAAGCCGGUGUAAAUACCACCGGCGAUGACGGUACUGUUUGUAAGCUCCGGCUAACUCCGUGCCAGCAGCCGCGGUAAUACGGGGGGAGCAAGCGUUG